AUUGAACGCUGGCGGCAUGCUUUACACAUGCAAGUCGAACGGUAACAGGCCUUCGGGUGCUGACGAGUGGCGAACGGGUGCGUAAUGCAUCGGAACGUACCCAGAGGUGGGGGAUAACGCAGCGAAAGCUGUGCUAAUACCGCAUGUGAUCUGAGGAUGAAAGCGGGGGACCGAGCAGCAAUGUUUGGCCUCGCGCCUUUGGAGCGGCCGAUGUCGGAUUAGCUAGUUGGUGGGGUAAAGGCCUACCAAGGCGACGAUCCGUAGCUGGUCUGAGAGGACGACCAGCCACACUGGGACUGAGACACGGCCCAGACUCCUACGGGAGGCAGCAGUGGGGAAUUUUGGACAAUGGGCGCAAGCCUGAUCCAGCAAUGCCGCGUGCGGGAAGAAGGCCUUCGGGUUGUAAACCGCUUUUGGCAGGAACGAAACGGUGUCCGCUAAUACCGGGCGCUAAUGACGGUACCUACAGAAUAAGCACCGGCUAACUACGUG
rnacentral:rRNA from 1 species